rnacentral:rRNA from 1 species
GACGAACGCUGGCGGCGUGCUUAACACAUGCAAGUCGAACGGAAAGGCCCUGCUUUUGUGUGGUGCUCGAGUGGCGAACGGGUGAGUAACACGUGAGUAACCUGCCCUUGACUUUGGGAUAACUUCAGGAAACUGGGGCUAAUACCGGAUAGGUGCUCCUGCUGCAUGGUGGGGGUUGGAAAGUUUCGGCGGUUGGGGAUGGACUCGGGGCUUAUCAGCUUGUUGGUGGGGUAGUGGCUUACCAAGGCAUGGACGGGUAGCCGGCCUGAGAGGGUGACCGGCUACAUUGGGAUUGGGAUACGGCCCGGGCGCCUUCGGGAGGCAGGGGUGGGGAAUAUUGCACAAUGGGCGGAGGCUGGAUGCAGCAACGCCGCGUGCGGGAUGACGGCCUUCGGGUUGUAAACCGCUUUCGCCUGUGACGAAGCGUGAGUGACGGGAAUGGGGAAAGAAGCACCGGCUAACUACGG